AGCAUUCCCGAGGGGCGGCUUUUGCCUGAGAAUUGGCUCAUUGCGGUUACUGUUUGUAAUUGCUUGAGCGCCAGACCCUUUGAACCUGAUCCGGGUUAUACCGGCGUAGGGACAGGGAGUGCAGACGAUU
rnacentral:ncRNA from 2 species